CUGUCUCCAGGGCAACCGUGGCUUUAGAUUGUUACUGUAGUUCUGCAUUGGUAACAGUCUACAGCCAUGGUCGCUCGGGCAAGAUGC
ensembl:miRNA xtr-mir-132 xtr-mir-132